rnacentral:ncRNA from 19 species
UAGGUUACUGGGGAUGGCGUCCCCCAGGGCUUGUUCCCGAACCGCCUGAUACAUGAAGGCUGAUGACGCCUAUCUCUUG